rnacentral:rRNA from 1 species
GACGAACGCUGGCGGCGUGCCUAAUACAUGCAAGUAGAACGCAUUUGCGAACGGGUGAGUAACGCGUAUGUACCUGCCUGUUAGCGAGGGAUACAUAUUGGGAACGCUAGCUCAUACAGCGUAAUACCAGUUGGACCUUCGUUGUAUUAGCUAGUUGGUGGGGUAACGGCUCACCAAGGCAACGAUACAUAGCCGACCUGAGAGGGUGAUCGGCCACACUGGGACUGGGACACGGCCCAGACUCCUACGGGAGGCAGCCGUAGGGAAUCUUCGGCAAUGGACGGAAGUCUGACCGAGCAACGCCGCGUGAGUGAAGAAGGUUUUCGGAUCGGAAAUCUCUGUUGUAAGAGAAGCGGUAUCUUACCAGAAAGGGACGGCUAACUACGUGCCAGCAGCCGCGGUAAUAC